rnacentral:rRNA from 1 species
GAUGAACGCUAGCGGGAGGCCUAACACAUGCAAGCCGAGCGGUAUUGUUUCUUCGGAAAUGAGAGAGCGGCGUACGAGUGCGGAACACGUGUGCAACCUGCCUUUAUCUGGGGGAUAGCCUUUCGAAAGGAAGAUUAAUACUCCAUAAUAUAUUGAACGGCAUCGUUUAAUAUUGAAAGCUCCGGCGGAUAGAGAUGGGCACGCGCAAGAUUAGCUAGUUGGUGAGGUAACGGCUCACCAAGGCGAUGAUCUUUAGGGGGCCUGAGAGGGUGAUCCCCCACACUGGUACUGAGACACGGACCAGACUCCUACGGGAGGCAGCAGUGAGGAAUAUUGGUCAAUGGGUGCAAGCCUGAACCAGCCAUCCCGCGUGAAGGACGACUGCCCCUAUGGGGUUGUAAAACUUUCUUUUGUAUAGGGAUAAAACC